rnacentral:rRNA from 1 species
CCUAUGGGAGGCAGCAGUGAGGAAUUUUCUGCAAUGGGCGAAAGCCUGACAGAGCAAUACCGCGUGAGGGAUGAAGGCCUACGGGUUGUAAACCUCUUUUCUCAAGGAGGAAGAUCUGACGUUACUUGAGGAAUAAGCAUCGGCUAACCCUGUGCCAGCAGCCGCGGUAAUACAGGGGAUGCAAGUGUUAUCCGGAAUUAUUGGGCGUAAAGCGUCUGCAGGUUGAUAUUUAAGUCUUUUGUUAAACCUCCGGGCUCAACCCGGAAUCUGCAAAGGAAACUAUAUGUCUUGAGUAUGGUAGGGGUAAAGGGAAUUUCCAGUGGAGCGGUGAAAUGCGUAGAUAUUGGAAAGAACACCAACAGCGAAGGCACUUUACUGGGCCAGUACUGACACUCAGAGACGAAAGCUAGGGGAGCAAACAGGAUUAGAUACCCUGGUAGUCCUAGCUGUAAACGAUGGAUACUAGAUGUUGUGUACCUUUGGGUAUGNAGUGUGUAGCUACGUACGUAGUACUCCGUCCGUCGGUAGUAGUGCGUCGCGAGAGUAGAACGUACGUAAAGGUAAGUUAGUUACGGCGUGAGACGUGCCGACGGCGACGACGAGGGAGGAGG